GCCGAUGUGUUUACUUUGAGAUAAACCAAACUAAGUCUCUAAGGAAUAUAACCCGCAGAGGCAUUUUCUGACGAAACAUCUACAUUUCGAUGUCUGGUCCCCGAGCCCUUGGAUUCUUGAAACUGAGGCCCUCUUCAUAAUGCAGUUAAAUAACCCUGGUCUAUGGUAUUGAAUUAACACUAAUGAGUCAACUUGAAUGAAAGUGCAGCGCAAAGGUGUGACAUAUGAAGAUAUAAAAGUGAGUAGCGAAAGACUCAAACCAUCCACUGUGGCCAAGUUUUGUCACUGACAUGCUUGGUCUCACUUCAGUGCUGAGAGAUUGUAAAUGUCACAGCUCGUCACUCAGACUCACGUGCGUGGCGAGAUGGAGCCGCCAAAAGGAAACAGCGAGCAGUUCUCCGUCUGACUCCCUCAAUGUCCAUCUGUCAAUCUUUGCUUAUUCUUGAGAAACUACUUGUGACUUUAUGCCUUUUUGGACUUCUAUUCAGCGCCUGAUCAUUUCUAUUCAACGGCUCGCUGCCGGGUGGUGAUUGGUUCGGCCCCCUUGCAUAUUCUUCCGACAGACUGCACCUUCAAAUAACUUUGCUCAAAAUUCAUUGGAUCUAUGUUGGAAAGAAAUGUUCAGAUUCCAGUGAGCCACGGAUGAGGAGAUGCUGCUCCAUCUUUUGACACUUCUUCAACACCCGUCCUUGCACGCUACAACAAAGAUGACGGGGAGAAGACGCUGCCGAAGGUGAGCCACGUAAAUAAGACCGCCCAUAAAACGGCGCAUCCUGAAGUGACAGUCAGAAAGCGACUUGAAGAUGGUCUGUAAAACAUCAUCUAUGCAACAUUUUGACCAAAGAACUAACAUUACAUGUUAUGUAGACCACAAGGAAGUGUUUUUAAUUUAGAAAAAAAAUCAUAAUAUGACCCCUUUAAUGCGCCUUAUAAUCCGGUGCGCCUUUUGUAUGAAAAUAGACCUGACUAGACCCUGCGAUGAGGUGGCGACUUGUCCAGCGUGUACCCCGCCUUCCGCUCGAUUGUAGCUGAGAUAGGCUCCAGCGCCCUCCGCGACCCCGAAGGGAAAAAGCGGUAGAAAAUGGAUGGAUGGAUAGACCCGCUCAUCGGCAGUGCGCCCCAUGGUCCGGAAAAUACGCUAAUAGAUAGUUUUUGUUUAUGUUUAGUUAUUGUGUACUAAUGACAAUGUUUUGAUCAAACAAUUGUAUGUAAUAAAAGAGAUAACAAGUUUAAAUAUUGUGUUUAAAUUGUGACACUGUCAACAGCACUCACCAUAAGCGUACAGGUAAUACAUGUGAUCAGUAUCAGUAUUGGCCAAUUCAACUCCGAGAUGAUCGGUAUCAAAUACCCGAUAUGAACAAAUGUUUACCUUUUAUUGAAGACUCUUGUUGGCUCUGUCGUCGUACUUUGCUCCAAGUUUGUUCUUAAAUUCAAAAAUGUCUCUCAUCUUCUUUGUUAACGUGCAGCCACUUGCAACUUUCUUGGCCGCAUGUUUGCUUAUUUUGUAAUCGUACGCAAUAAAAAAGAAAAAAAGCACAGAGACCGUCUGAAAGCAUGUUUGCCUAAAACUCAGAGUUACGCAGAGCUGUUGAACGCCUCAUCACGCAUGAACGGCGCAUGGGAACAUCUUUCUUGUGUUCUCCGACACUGAGUUGUUCAUCGUUCUGUGUGCAUUCUAUGAACAAAUAAAUCACACACACCCAUAAUAAAGAUGAUGAAAAGAAUCUGUCUAUUAGUGUCUCAACUGUAAAAGGGGUCCUUAUCCCUUCCAGAGCCCAAAAAAAGUCUGCAAGCUAUAGAGCGUUUUCUAUUCGGGCUCCUGUACUAUGGAAUGCCCUCCCGGUAACAGUUAGAGAUGCUACCUCAGUAGAAACAUUUAAGUCCCAUCUUAAAACUCAUUUGUAUACUCUAGCCUUUAUAUAGACCCCCUUUUUAGACCAGUUGAUCUGCCGUUUCUUUUCUUUUCUCCUCUGCCCCCCUCUCACGGUGGCCAUGGAUGAAGUGCUGGCUGUCCAGAGUCGGGACCCGGGGUGGACCGCUCGCCUGUGCAUCGGUUGGGGACAUCUCUGCGCUGCUGACCCAUCUCCGCUCGGGAUGGUCUCCUGCUGGCCCCAAUAUGGACUGGACUCUCACUAUUAUGUUAGAUCCACUAUGGACUGGACUUUCACAAUAUUAUGCUAGAUCUACAUUGACGUCCAUUGCAUUCGGUCUCCCCUAGAGGGGGGGUUCACCCACGUCUGCGGUCCUCUCCAAGGUUUCUCAUAGUCAUUCACAUUGACAUCCAACUGGGUUGUGAGUUUUUCCUUGCCCUUAUGUGGGCUCUGUACCGAGGAUGUCGUUGUGGCUUGUGCAGCCCUUUGAGACACUUGUGAUUUAGGGCUAUAUAAAUAAACAUUGAUUGAUUGAUUGAUUGAUUAUUCACAGAGACGCGCCAAGUAAACCUUACUUCCCUCCUUAAGAGCUGUGCUGGACUAUGAGUCAACAGCAUUGUUUGAAUUACUCGGUUAUUGGAUCCUGCUGUGAGCUGGGCGUGUGCAGGCUGACCUCUUUUACGCCACAACCAAGAUACAUACAAAAAAAAACAUUGCAAACUUUUGAUGGAAUUUUUUGUCAAACAGAAUCACACGAAAAACGUUUUCAUUCUAUUCUACAAGGCCUGGGGAACCUACACAAGUCACACAAACUAUCUAGAGAAGUCGGAGGGAUUGUUUUGGUUUUGUGUCCAUCUGCAUAACCCCAUACCAAAUGCCUCCAACUUUGGAGAACAACAAUCUACCGGACACUGAUGUGAUGUUUUAUUAUUCUGUUAUUUGGAGUGAGUCCAAACAUGCCAUCUGCUCUGUGAAACAUCCUUGUGAAUUGUGCAAUAAAAUGCAUUGUUAACUCCU